UACGGGGGGUGCGAGCGUUGUCCGGAUUUACUGGGCGUAAAGGGAGCGUAGGUGGAUAUUUAAGUGGGAUGUGAAAUCCCCGGGCUCAACUUGGGUGCUGCAUUUCAAACUGGAAGUCUAGAGUGCAGGAGAGGAGGGUGGAAUUCCCGGUGUAGCGGUGAAAUGCGUAGAUAUUGGGAAGAACACCGGUGGCGAAGGCGGCUCUCUGGACUGUAACUGACGCUGAGGUACGAAAGCAUGGGGAGCAAACAGG
rnacentral:rRNA from 1 species